GAUGAACGCUGGCGGCGUGCUUAACACAUGCAAGUCGAACGGAAAGGCCCAAGCUUGCUUGGGUACUCGAGUGGCGAACGGGUGAGUAACACGUGGGUGAUCUGCCCUGCACUUCGGGAUAAGCCUGGGAAACUGGGUCUAAUACCGGAUAGGACGAUGGUUUGGAUGCCAUUGUGGAAAGUUUUUUCGGUGUGGGAUGAGCUCGCGGCCUAUCAGCUUGUUGGUGGGGUAAUGGCCUACCAAGGCGUCGACGGGUAGCCGGCCUGAGAGGGUGUACGGCCACAUUGGGACUGAGAUACGGCCCAGACUCCUACGGGAGGCAGCUGUGGGGAAUAUUGCACAAUGGGCGCAAGCCUGAUGCAGCGACGCCGCGUGGGGGAUGACGGCCUUCGGGUUGUAAACUCCUUUCGCUAGGGACGAAGCGUUUUUGUGACGGUACCUGGAGAAGAAGCACCGGCUAACUACGUG
rnacentral:rRNA from 1 species